UACGAAGGGGGCGAGCGUUGUUCGGAAUCACUGGGCGUAAAGAGCGCGCAGGCGGUCGUUCAAGUCGCGUGUGAAAGCCCCCGGCUCAACUGGGGAGGGUCACGCGAUACUGAUCGACUCGAAGGCAGGAGAGGGUAGUGGAAUUCCCGGUGUAGUGGUGAAAUGCGUAGAUAUCGGAAGGAACGCCGGUGGCGAAAGCGGCCGAGCUGGACCUCACCUGACGCUGAGCGCGAAAGCCAGGGGAGCGAAGCGGGAUAGAAACCCU
rnacentral:rRNA from 1 species